CCUUGUACACACCGCCCGUCACACCAUGGGAAUGGAUUGGACCAGAAGUUACUGGGCUAACCGCAAGGAGGCAGGUACCUAAGGUCUGGUUCGUGACUGGGGUG
rnacentral:rRNA from 1 species